UACGAAGGGUCCAAGCGUUGUUCGGAAUUACUGGGCGUAAAGCGCGCGUAGGCGGGUUUGUAAGUAGAUUGUGAAAUCCCUGGGCUUAACCCGGGAACUGCAGUCUAUACUGCAAACCUUGAAUGUCUGAGAGGAUGGCGGAAUAACCGGUGUAGUAGUGAAAUACGUAGAUAUCGGUUAGAACACCUGAGGCGAAGGCGGCUAUCUGGCGGAACAUUGACGCUGAGGCGCGAAAGCGUGGGGAGCAAACAGG
rnacentral:rRNA from 1 species